rnacentral:rRNA from 1 species
CCUACGGGGGGCAGGAGUAGGGAAUCUUCGGCAAUGGACGAAAGUCUGACCGAGCAACGCCGCGUGAGUGAAGAGGGUUUUCGGAUCGUAAAACUCUGUAGUUAGAGAAGAACAAGGACGUAAGUAACUGAACGUCCCCUGACGGUAUCUAACCAGAAAGCCACGGCUAACUACGUGCCAGCAGCCGCGGUAAUACGUAGGUGGCAAGCGUUGUCCGGAUUUAUUGGGCGUAAAGCGAGCGCAGGCGGUUUCUUAAGUCUGAUGUGAAAGCCCCCGGCUCAACCGGGGAGGGUCAUUGGAAACUGGGAGACUUGAGUACAGAAGAGGAGAGUGGAAUUCCAUGUGUAGCGGUGAAAUGCGUAGAUAUAUGGAGGAACACCAGUGGCGAAGGCGGCUCUCUGGUCUGUAACUGAUGCUGAGGCUCGAAAGCGUGGGGAGCAAACAGGAUUAGAUACCCCUGUAGUU